CGGCGUGCCUAACACAUGCAAGUCGAGCGAGAAGCCUUUUCAAGACUCUUCGGAUGAUUUAAAGGUGGAAAGCGGCGGACGGGUGAGUAACGCGUGGGCAACCUGCCUUAGACAGGGGGAUAACACCGGGAAACCGAUGCUAAUACCGCAUAACACAUAGAUAUCGCAUGGUAUUUAUGUCAAAGGAGAAAUCCGGUAUAAGAUGGGCCCGCGUCCAAUUAGCUAGUUGGUGGGGUAGAGGCCUACCAAGGCGACGAUUGGUAGCCGAACUGAGAGGUUGAUCGGCCACAUUGGGACUGAGAGACGGCCCAGACUCCUACGGGAGGCAGCAGUGGGGAAUAUUGCGCAAUGGGGGGAACCCUGACGCAGCAACGCCGCGUGAAGGAUGAAGGUCUUCGGAUCGUAAACUUCUUUGAUUGGGGAAGAAGCAGUGACGGUACCCAAAGAACAAGCCACGGCUAACUACGUGCCAGCAGCCGCGGUAAUACGUAGGUGGCAAGCGUUGUCCGGAAUUACUGGGUGUAAAGGGCGUGUAGGCGGGGAUGCAAGUCAGAUGUGAAAAUCCGUGGCUCAACUGCGGAACUGCAUCUGAAACUGUAUCUCUUGAGUGCUGGAGAGGGAAGUGGAAUUCCUAGUGUAGCGGUGAAAUGCGUAGAGAUUAGGAAGAACACCAGUGGCGAAGGCGGCUUCCUGGACAGUAACUGACGCUGAGGCGCGAAAGCGUGGGGAGCGAACAGGAUUAGAUACCCUGGUAGUCCACGCCGUAAACGAUGGAUACUA
rnacentral:rRNA from 1 species